CGCCGCCGCUGCCCAGGCCGGCCUUGGUCUCUGGGGGCACCUGUUGUGUGUACACAUAGAAAUUGAAUUUAACGUUCCCCGUAAAAUGCUCAAUAAGACAUUUAAACAGCGAAACAGAGAGAAGUCUACGGAUGACAACAAAAACAACAACGACGACGAUUGAUAACAACGGCGACUGUACCUAGUACUUUGGGACUGGCGAAAAUCGAGGAUAAAUCGUUUAACCGCCAUAGAAACUAUGAAAGUCCAGAAAAUCCAUGGAAUCUGUUUGAUUUUGCUGUUGCUGGUCGAGCUACGCGAUAGAUCGUUGACAAUAUCGCAUCAAAUGUGUGGAAUGAAAUGAAGGUGAAGGUUUUAGUAGUAA